GUGCUCGCUUCGGCAGCACAUAUACUAAAAUUGGAAUGAUACAGAGAAGAUUAGCAUGGCCCCUGCACAAUGGCACGCAUAUUCGUGAAAAAAUAAUAAUAAUA